UUUAAACUCUCUCGGUGACCUCCUGAUCAGCCAGUCAGGAUGAGAGAGUCAAGGGUACAGUAGACAGACUGUAUAUGCACGUGUGUGUGUGUGUGUGUGUGUGUGUGUGUGUGUGUGUGUGUGUGUGUGUGUGUGUAUGUGUGUUUAUUUUGAGAGAACAGGGGCUGUUUCUUCUUAGCAGAGUAUCUCACUCUGGCCAUUUAACAUAGUAUAAAAGUACUUUUAUAAUAAGCAUCAAAUAUGAUUUAUAUAUAGACUUUCAUAGUGCACACACCUGAAAGGGGGGAAUAGCUCAUCACAUUGUACUUUAUACUGUAUCUUUUUCAACAAAACUACUACAUUACUGUUCUUCAGUAUUUUUAAAAACAUACACAUCAUUAUUUUAUAGCUACAGCUGUAAUGGCUGUAAAGCCUAAAGUGUUGUUGCCUAGUGACACAUAAUCCACACCAUAUUUAUAAUAAUAAGUACUUUGUAUUUAAAUUAUUUUUACAAUAUAAUUCCACCAAACUAAAUAGUCUUUGUUAAUAUAUUAUCAUUUUAAAAUAAAUGAUAACUAACAAUGUAAUUGUAGUAUUGGCACUGUUGUCCUGUUUUCCAAUUAAACAUAAAGUUGUUUCCCCCUUAUACUUUAACAUCUUGUCUUCUUUCGCUGUACUUUCUUCCCCAUAUCUGUCCCUUAAAGUUACCCAGUAAGUAUUUUACUGACACCCUGUAAAUACUAAAUUAUUACGUUACAUAAAUUGUGAGCUGUAAUCUCAAGCGUUACAAACGGACCCUCACUUCUCAUCAUUUUAAUGCUUAUCAGAAAUGCAUGAAGCACUUUAUCACAUUAUUUUUCUUUAUGCUUUCUCUCUUUGUUCCUUAUCACAAGACUUUACACUGAGUAUCUAAUACUGCAGUAUUUCAGUGACUUGACUUUCUGCAAAGGGUAAAAAAUGUCAUUGAACUUGAGAACCCUUUCAUUAUCAUUUAGCAUAGAGUGUGUUUACAUAACCUAUAGAAACCAUGCUUUGAAAUGUGAACGGCCUUUUUUUUGUCAAUUUGCUGUUAGUCAAUCAAAACCACAAAGAAAACAACUAUUCCUCUGACAUGAACUACAGUAUGGUUGUAUACUGAGCUGUGAAUGUUUGGAUGAUUGAGUGUGGAACUUAUUUUCAGUCUUAUUGUUCUGUUUUGUCUGACAGUAAUUGUAGCCAAAUUGAAAAUGUUCUGGCAAGGUAAAUAAUAUGUGAUACUGUAGCCUCAAUAUGCAGAAAUAUAACUAUGACAAGAAUGCUAGGGUGGUUUAAAAAAGAAAAAAACAGAUGCAAAAUGUCUGUGUUUGUUUGUUUGUACAUGUGUGCGUUGGUUGGUUUGUUUAUGGCGUGUGAUUUAGUGCAUGCAGUACUUUCUUCUGUAGCUGCUGAGAAACAGUAGUGUUUCUCAGCAGUGUAUCUCAUGACACUACUUUCAAUAAAGAUGAUCCUGUGUACAUAUCAUUAUUAAACUGUCUUGUUAUUACUCUGCAA